rnacentral:rRNA from 1 species
UACGUAGGAGGCAAGCGUUGUCCGGAAUUGCUGGGCGUAAAGCGCGUGUAGGCGGGAAGCUCAGUCUGUGGUGAAAGCGCCUGGCUUAACCGGGCGAGGUCCAUGGAAACUAGCUACCUAGAGGCCGGUAGAGGGGGGGUGGAAUUCCGGGUGUAGUGGUGAAAUGCGUAGAGAUCCGGAGGAACACCAGUGGCGAAGGCGGCGUCCUGGCCUGCGACUGACGCUGUGGCGCGAAAGCUAGGGGAGCGAACGGG